GACGAACGCUGGCGGCGUGCUUAACACAUGCAAGUCGAACGGAAAGGCCCUGCUUUUGUGGGGUGCUCGAGUGGCGAACGGGUGAGUACCCCGUGAGUAACCUGCCCUUGACUUUGGGAUAACUUCAGGAAACUGGGGCUAAUACCGGAUAGGAGCUCCUGCUGCAUGGUGGGGGUUGGAAAGUUUCGGCGGUUGGGGAUGGACUCGCGGCUUAUCAGCUUGUUGGUGGGGUAGUGGCUUACCAAGGCUUUGACGGGUAGCCGGCCUGAGAGGGUGACCGGCCACAUUGGGACUGAGAUACGGCCCAGACUCCUACGGGAGGCAGCAGUGGGGAAUAUUGCACAAUGGGCGGAAGCCUGAUGCAGCAACGCCGCGUGCGGGAUGACGGCCUUCGGGUUGUAAACCGCUUUCGCCUGUGACGAAGCGUGAGUGACGGUAAUGGGUAAAGAAGCACCGGCUAACUACGUG
rnacentral:rRNA from 1 species